GGAUUUUCUGCAAGUAAAACGUGUCUGUGAUUGAAGUAAUUGAGAGAAACUAUCGGCCGAUUUUAAAAUUACUUUCCUGCUGACGGAUGCCCGCCACAUCUCUCUCGAUUGCGCGAUUACCGCCACCGUUUCCCAGACGAUCGUGGAGAAAUCGUGAUUUCCAAUCAGCGUUCGAGUAAAAAACUAAAUUUCUUUAUCAUUAUGCUUCGAUCUCGUUUAGUUGGAAAUUAUAUUUUUAUUCUCGUUUCAAGAGAUUCUCAAAUUUAUAAAAAUUUAAUCGUUUUUAUUAUAUAUCAUUCUUCAUAGAUAGAGAUUGAAGAGAGAUUGAAGAGAUUCUUACAUAGAUAGAGAUUGAAAUCGUCGAAUACGUCGAAACAUUAUUUUAUUUUUGCGGUCGAAAAUAGGCGCAGGUUGGAUGAUUCCAAUCCUCUCGAAAUUUCCACGAAUUCGAAAUUCCAUCUCAACCGUUUCCCGUGCGAAAAGUCUCUUUGUUCUCCCCCCUCCCCCCUCUCGAAAAGUGGCCCCAUUCGAUUCCUUCUAAUUCGAGCGCCGAAUAAUCCAUCCUAUCCGCCUCCCUUUUGUCCCAAUAAAAUUCGCCUUUGAAAACUGUAAUUCGCCGCGUGCAACAAUGCUAUCUCUCUCUCUCUCUCUUCCUCUCUCUCUCAAAGGACAAUUUCAUAGAAUCCCAUUUUCGAGUUCGCCUCGUUAACCGGAGACGGAACGAGCGAUCUUUCGCGAGCAUGUGUUCUCUCGCCUAUUCUCGUCGCAGAGAGAAAUCGACGCCGGGGAAAAUGAUCGUCUAUCUUCAAUGCUCGUGGAGAACUUCCUGAACGACGAAUUUCCAAGAACGAUCAAGGGGAGAACGUAAUUUCCAACCGAUUUCUGAUAAAAAGCCGACUUUGCUAGGCAUGCAACCGUGAGAGAAAUGAAAAGGAAAAGAAUGGGGAAGGAAAAAUCCAAGGCAACUAGCACACGUAACGGAUACACCAACGGUGAAAUUGAGAUUGGUUAUCGAGGACUUGCAACACUUUUGGCGGGUGAUAGGAGGAGGAGUGGGCUCAAAUCGGAUAGUUUGUUCAUUAUAGAUACUUUUUCGAUCGCUGGUGGAAGAACAGGGAGUGCAGAGAGCGUUGUAUUUGUCUUGAUAAGUUGAGGAGGCGGGAAAUGAGACUGUCGAUGGUAGAAUGCUUCGUUUCUUGUAAGAUGGUAAGGGUCGAAGCAUCGCGGUAUGAAAUGGGUGUCUCGAUUCAUUUAAUGAACGAGAUCAUCGUUCAUGAUAUUCGAGAAGUAUCUGGAGACUUUACUUUCCUCCUCCCUUCUCCACAAUUCCUACAGACAGAAAUUGUCAUUCCUAUUCCAGAGAUCGUCCAUCUUUUGAAACUUAAAUCGUACAACGAUCGAAUAUAAAAAUAUAAUUGCGAUUCGAUAAUUCGAAAGAGGAAACGGAAGAUGGUUUUCGUUUCCAAACCCUGUCCACAAUCCGUUGAGAAGAAAAGUCGGAUAUUUUCCAGCAUUUUCAUCGCGAUAUAUAUACCGAGGAUAAAAUUCAGCACAAGCGUAACCCGUCUCAUCGUUUUCUGGGAACUACUCGUUUCCACGAUUAUGUCAUCCUCCGACGACUCGUGAAACUUAACUGCUGUCGAAUAGGUUAGUCGUAUCGGGCAUUUCGAGUUCGAAAUUUCCGUUCCCGUCCCCGCAUAAAUAGUGAAAAAGUGAUGGCUUUUGCAUCUCAAAGGCGCGACGGUUGCUUCGAUCUCUCUUUCGCGCGCCCACCACCCUCGAUAGUAUCGAUGACGGGAAUAGAUAACGCGUGAAAUGGACCAGCAGGAAGGGAGACACGUCUGCGAAUUCCGCACGAUAGAACUCGCACACGUACAUCUCUCGUGGACAGAAGGAGGAGGAGGAGGAGGAUAUCGAUUUUCGACCCGAUCGGGGGGGAGACAGUUUUCGCGAGGCUCCUUCUCGUAUCAUGGCAAGACCCGUUUGACCCGGCACACACGCCGUCCAUAGAUCAAGCGGAACCCUUAGGACGAGCCCAACCCCCGUCGUGCCACGGGCUAACCAUUAAUUUACAACCCGCAGAGUAACCCCAUUGCUCGCCACCCCCUGCAUACAAGAUCCCCACGUCCCUUUGCGGCAGAUAUGAGCUACGACGUGGCGUUGAGGGAUUCAACCACCCUUGUUCCCUGCGCCCCCUCGCCUGUCCUUGCUCGUACGCUCCGAACGUCUGAACGUUUCACUGGCGCAGCACCACCUGCCAUAGAAAUUUCCCAGAUCUCUCUCCUCCUCUCUUGAGAGGAAAGAAAAUUUAAAUCUAUCGGGGACACGUCCUGGUUAAUAUCGCGUAACGCGGUGCAGACGGGAACACGGGUUGUCCGGAAGUAAUUGGACCAUUUCCAGGGAUACGUUCUUGCGCUCGUUUAAGGGGUUGGUCAUCUUGUUCCCGGGCGACGGCUCAACAUUGUGGAUAUUAUGCUUUAAAGGGGAUCGAGGGGAGGAGAGGAGAUUCUUGGAUGAUUCUAAGCCUUUUUUUUUUAUACUAUACUAUAUUUUCGUGAAAGAUUUCAAGCGAUUUUUAACUCGAUUCCUGAUAUACUUAAGAAUUAAUUUUAAAUAUUAAUUUAAGAAAACAAAUCAAAGGAUCUUUUCAUUCGUAAAUUUACACAUAUCAAUUCACCGUCGAAUAUUAAAUUAUCAAGAGUUGCCCAAACUGAUCCGAAUUACAAUUAAAUCUCCAGUGUAAUCCAUUUUCAUCGACCUAUAAAUUAACUCUGGUUAAUUUUAUACAUAUUCAAAACUACGUUUCCCAAAUUAAAAGAUCAAACGAAUCUGUCAAAUCGAAAUCUCGAACGGCACCGUCGUGCUCGAACACGUCCGCGAAUAAAUCUCUUUCAGAAGCGGCAAAGAAUGGAAUUCCUAAUUGCCAUUGGACUCUUGGGGAGGUUAUCUCGGCGAGCAUUGAGGAAUAGAAUAGAACGAAAAGGGGGAUCCGCGCUUCGAUUCCAGGGGCUUUAUUUCCGCAUAAUAAGCGGGUGUGAAUAGGCCCGGCUGUUGCUCCCGCUUUAUAACUCGGAGCAAGUUGUCCCGUUUUGUUUCGUUUUGUUGUCCGGCUGCAUCCUACUCUACUGUUUACUUCGCUGUUCUCUCUCUCUCUCUCUGUCUUCGACUCUCGUUCUCGCUUACUCGUUCUCACGGGAAUGAAAGGAAUGAAUAAUUAGAGAGACAGAGAAAGAGAGAGAGAGAGCGGACGGCAGAAAGUUUCUGGCCAAUUAAUUAAACGGAGAGGAGAGCAAGGGAGUGGAGAGUAACCGACGUUAGAGCAAACGGGAUAGGAUAAUUUAAAGAGUCGCGCGACAAUUUAACUGCGAUUAUCGCCCUUACAAUCCCUUUAACAACGCGCCGUUAUAGAAACGCGCCAAUUAGCAGUGUAACUUGGCGUUAAUGAAUUUCGGAUACGGUAAAAGGCAAUAGAACAAGCAGAGAUAAACGUCCCUGGGGGAGGAGGGGGGGAAGGAUAAUUCAAAUGGCGGCCGCGAUGUAGCCGCGGACGUGGCCCGUCGGCAUUUCCAAGGAACCUAACUAAUGAUCACCGUGCGUCUCGUGAUCGUGAAAUAACAGUGGUAAUUUCGACGAGCGGGUUUAUCCGCCGUACAAAACGGCGACCACCUUGUUCACUAAUUUCUUAACCGCGUCGGUUAUUGUAAUCGUUCAGGAUGAAAAUUUAAAUUUACGUGGUUUUGUGCGUGUGCAAUGUAUACGUAAUACGCGUGGUGGUGGGCUGGUUUGUUUGGGUUGAUCGUGACAACCUUCCCUUGUUAUGAAUAACGUCGGUUAUAUCUUAUUAUAAAUAAUGACAGGUUAUAAAUAACAUGCUAACGCGCGUUUCCUUUAUUAUGAAUAACGCACUGCCUACUACGCCGCUCUAUAAAUAACACAUUACGUAUUAUAACGCGUAUUCUCGUCGUAGACACUGAGCAGCCAUUUCAUUUACGCUUCAUCGUGCUUAUAUAUAUUUAAUUUUCUUAUAUUUAUAUAAAGAAUCUGUGUACACAAGUAUAUCGAAAAUACGCGCAGACUGUUUUACGUAUCUGAGAAUUAUUUUCCAUCGAGGAAAAACAUUUCGAGCGAAACUUGUUCCUUUCUUUCUCAAGUGGGACGAUUCUCGAUAGUAAUAAAAUCUUAUUUUACAGAGGAACGCGAAAACUUUGAAGAUUUUUCUGUGUUAUACAGGACUACGUUCGAGCUUGAUAUUUUUUUCACCGAUCUUCUAAAUAAGAAAAGACACAAGAACACAAGAAAAUUGGCGCACACGAUGUUUUCCACGAUGGCCUCGAUUUCGAAAUAUCAACGCCAACAAACUCGUGAAUUAGAAGAACACUGUACACGGUUAAUUGUCAACAGGAUUCAGAAUUCGAAGAGGAAUCGUGUCCAAUUCUGUCUCGAAGAUGCACGUAAAAGCACGUUCCCCGUUCUUAUCCGAUUUAAAAAGCGACGAAGUCAGUUUAAUCGGGACAAAAGAGGAGGAAGAAGAAGAACCGUGACACGGUUUCCACUGACUGGUCGUCUCUUUUCGCCAAAUCAUCGCGAACGAACGGCAAUACACGUUUUUUAUUCUGUGUCGUUUCAGUAUCAAGCAAUGCGUCAAAGUGGUGUGAAUCCUUGAUCCAAUCAGAAUCGCGCAACGGUUCGAACGUUCCUCUCGAUUGCACGUUUGCUUUGAUCACGAGUCGAAAGGUGGGCCGUCUCCUUAUUCACACAGAAACAGCGUGAAUCAUGAAAGCGUGCCACUUCCUGGAACGCAUUAUCUUAAGUACAUCGUGACGAACGUAAUGAACUAUCGAAGCAACAACAGUGUCAACCCGGAAUCUACGAUGUUUCAAGUGCGUCGUAAUAGGCGAAAUUUGUCGUGUAAAUGGAGAGUGGAAAAUAUAUUUAAGAAAUUACGAAAUGAAUAUGAACGUUGAAACGUGGUAGCAACAUUCAAGGAUUAUCAUAUUUAACUUCACAAUUCGCAUGAUACAAUUCGUGUGAAAAUACCUGUUUUUGUGUUACGGCCCCGACAAGCGAAACGUCUAGACGAGCUCGCAAGGUUACCGAGUCACGGUGCAACAAUUUCACUUGGAAACUUAACCAGAACUUUGGACAAUUUGCAUCAGCUGUUAAGAUACAAUUAGAGGAGAAACUGUGCAAAUUGUAACGGAAUCUGAAUUAACGAACUCUUCUCGAAAAUCUCUACGCACGACGACGAGACGUGAAACGCGCCAAAGAAUCUCGGUUUUCGAGUGUUCCAAAGUGUAUAAAGGAGGGACGGCGAGAAAUAUAUAUUCAGCAGAAGAGGUUCAUUUAUUUAUAGACAUGCCAAUCUUCGUGCUGUCAGUUACUCUCGCCUUUCCGUAUUUACCGGUGUUCUCGAUACGAAGAAGAGGAGAAGAACAAGGCAGAAAUUCCCCGCGGAGGCCACACACGGCAAUGACGUCAUCAAUAUCCAGGAGAGAACGGCGAGGAUUAUUUCGGUUUUCUCGCGUCUCGAAGGGGGGGAGGGACCAGGGGCAAAACUUAUUAAAACCAUCGAUAAAUUCCCCCUCCUACCUCUUUCUCUCCGUACGAGCUAUUAAGCUCUUCUCUCGAUUCGAUUGUGGGUUUCGAGCGCCAAUAGCGGAUACCCCGAUGCUUCGUAAAUCGUUCGUCUCGUCGACGAUCAAACAGAUUUACGUUUUCCGCUCGAUUCCCUCGAAACGUUAUUAUUCGACAGAUGUGUGUUCGAGAUGACGGCGUUGAAAGGAGCACGUGAGCAUUUGCCACCAUCAAUACGUGUGUAAAAUGCCUAUGGAAAUACUCUCGAAUUAGAAUAAGAGGCUCGGUCAAUGUUCCCCCAAUGUUUGAAGUAUUUAUGCGUAUAUUCCGAUCCGUUUGUAAUUUCUUCUUACGCUAUCCAGUUACACAAAGAGAUAUAAAGAAGAAGCGAAUAGUGCGCGAUCUUACUUACAACUCGUUAAUCAAACAAGGAAAAAGGAAAAUUCAUAAAUUGCAGAGAAUUGUACAAGAAAACAUCCGCAAUACGAUUAUCCGUAUACUUAAAAUUCUACCAAAUAUCACGAUUUAUUAGAGAUAUUAUAUAUAUAUAUGUGGAAUUAAGGAUUUUCAGGUAUCCGGUAUCCGAAGCUUCGAGCGCACAGCUCUAUUUCGGCAACUCGGCAUUAAUAAUGACACGUAACGUUUAUAGGUACACAGCACGCGCCACGUAUUCGAAGAUGGUAGGCCGAGAUGCGGUGGCCAAGAAUAGACUUAUCAGCCAGAUAAAUGUGACAACGAACGAGCGAGGAGCCUAGCUUUACCUGGGAGCGAUCCCAUGCGCCCAUUAUUUCCUUUCCCCUAUCUACCGCAGAUGCAUCGCACUUAUCAACUCGCCGCUCGCUGCACCUACCUCCCCCGCCUCGCAUCUCCGCGCACGCGGAUUUCGUGCACGUUAUCCUCCCUUCCCCUUCCCGUGUCUAUCGCGGGACAUUAUCAGAAACGAUCGGUCGAAAAUAGGUUAUCGGCGCGCCUCGAAAUUCGAUUGCCAAUUCCUAAGAGAUAUUUUCGAUCCGUCCGAUAACCGGUUUUUAUCCGAUGGAAACGGACGGGAUAUCCCUUCCUGAUCUCUCCCCUUCUCUCUGAAAAUUUUCGCCCCGUGUCUCCUCGUAUUAAUUAUUGGGAAACGUUGGAUCUAAUUUUGAUGCGAAUUUUUAAUUUCGAUCGAUUAAUUUUUAAUCGACCAAUGUGGAGAAACGAUUCGUAAUUGGAAACUUGUGUUAAUAAUUUUAUUUCUAUUCUAAUGUUUUUAGAAAAUAUGAAAAGAAUAUCUGUUUUCCAUCGUUAUCGAAGAAAUCAUUUCCAAUAAGUUUAACUAAUAACUCGAGUUAGUCGGAAUAUAUGCAUCCAUGCUGUACGCCGUUCUUCCCAAGGAUCAAAAUAUAUCCCCGCAAAUUAAUCAUCACUGACCACCGCUCGUAUAUCAACAAGUAAUCGUGACACCCACUUUUCGAUCAUCCUAACAAACCGAUCAUUAUCCUACUAUUGCAAAUUCAUAAAAGCAUAAACGUGAUUGGCAUUCCUCCCCUGUUCUAUCAUCGUAGAGUUGUUAUCGCGGCUAACGAUAUCCCAACGACACUCCUCCCUCCCUUCCUCCCCCAUCGUUGAAUAAUUGUUCCAACGAAUACCGAUAUUACACACCGCUCUACUAAUAUUAUAUAUUCGCGGCCUGUUUUAAUCCGAUUUAUUAGCAUAAUGCGCAAGAAUAGAGCUCGGGUUUGCAUGUUCGCGAUCAUCGAGAGGAAAUUCGAUCACGCGAACGCGGAAUUCCCCUGCUAAUAAGGGAGUCUAGGAAUCCGUCAAACGCCCUCGUAACUCAGGGAGGAAACGAUGCUCUAUAAAAGCAAAGAUUAUAUUCUCGCGUCGUUGUUUCAUCUUGACGCUUCUUCGUUAUCGAUGCAUAAAGACAGCGAGAUAGAAGAAAAAUCCGUGAAUGAUCGAUUUAAAAUUUCGACGCACGUGUAUACGUAAAUUUUAUGGAAAUUUAUUGAUUGUUCGUUAAUGGGGGAUGUUAACGCGUUUCGUUAAAA
rnacentral:lncRNA from 1 species